rnacentral:rRNA from 1 species
CAGCAGCCGCGGGAAUACGAGGGGGGCAAGCGUUGUUCGGAAUUAUUGGGCGUAAAGGGUGCGUAGGCGGUUUGGCAAGUUUGGUGUGAAAUCUUCGGGCUCAACUCGAAGUCUGCAUCGAAAACUGCCGGGCUUGAGUAUGGGAGAGGUGAGUGGAAUUUCCGGUGUAGCGGUGAAAUGCGUAGAUAUCGGAAGGAACACCUGUGGCGAAAGCGGCUCACUGGACCAUAACUGACGCUGAUGCACGAAAGCUAGGGGAGCAAACAGGAUUAGAUACCCGCGUAGUCCCUGUCUCUUAUAC